rnacentral:lncRNA from 1 species
AGGCAAGCCUGGGCUACUUGACCCUGUCUUAAAAAAAAAAAGCUAGUAAAAGAGCUGGCACAGGGUCAUAUCCUUUCACCUCCCCGUGCACAGAGAUGCUUUUAAGUGCUCCCCAUGAGGCGAGCCAUGCUGGUUCAUAGAGUCCCUGCCCAGCAGAUUUGGUGUCUGCCAGUUGCACCUUUGAGACACCUGCUUGCUGGGCACAAUGGCAUAUUCCUGUAAACAAGCACUUAGGAGGCUGAAGCAGGAGGAUUGCUGCAAGGUCGAGUUGGCCUCUGGUGUGUAGUGAAACCCAGUUUCAAAAAAAAAAAAAAAAAAUCGAGCAAAACUCCUGCUCGCCUUUCCUUGGCCAGUGCAGAAAACCUUUGAGCUUUGUUUAAAUGGUCAGACUCCCAAACAUUGGAGCCUUUUGAAUGUGUUCUGAGACCUACAGUCAACUCGUGUCAUUCCUGCUGUUUGGCUGUCUAGCAGAAAUCUAGACUGGCUGACCCACUCCUCCGGUGGGCUCAGGUUUUCUGCUUUCUUGAUUCCAGAUUGUCAAAUAGAAGUGUAUAUGCAAUAUGCACUGUGACCCUUGCGGCUAGGGCUGACGGGCCACUGUGUAGCCUGCUGGGUGGCCAGUGCACCUGUGGGGGCAGCGGGAGACUUGCUCCUCCCCCAUGGCUGGCAGGGAAAUGCCCAUCCCAGAGGCCCCUCCCGCAGGUUGUGACUGGAACACAGCAGGCUGCCUUCUUCAGUUAAGUUCGGUCUUUGAAACUGACAAUCUUUAAAAUGUGAAUACUGUAACAAUAUGUUUUCUUGGAUUGUUGUCUUUAAAAGGAUUUUUGUGAAGCAAUUGAUUUAUC